UACGGGGGGGGCAAGCGUUGUUCGGAAUUACUGGGCGUAAACGGCUCGUAGGCGGCCAACUAAGUCGGACGUGAAAUCCCUCGGCUCAACCGGGGAACUGCGUCCGAUACUGGAUGGCUUGAGUUCGGGAGAGGGAUGCGGAAUUCCAGGUGUAGCGGUGAAAUGCGUAGAUAUCUGGAGGAACACCGGUGGCGAAGGCGGCAUCCUGGACCGACACUGACGCUGAGGAGCGAAAGCGUGGGGAGCGAACAGG
rnacentral:rRNA from 1 species